rnacentral:rRNA from 1 species
AAGACGCCAGAGCAGCUCAUGUUAAACACCCCUAGAUAAAGGAUAAAACCAAAUGAACCCUGCCCUAGUGUCUUUGGUUGGGGCGACCGCGGGGAAAUAUAAAACCCCCAUGUGGAACAGGAACACUAUGUUCCUAAAUCCAAGAGCUCCCGCUCUAAUAAACAGAAUUUCUGACCAACUAGAUCCGGCAAUGCCGAUCAACGGACCGAGUUACCCU